rnacentral:rRNA from 1 species
UACGGGGGGGAGCAAGCGUUGUUCGGAUUUACUGGGCGUAAAGGGCGCGUAGGCGGCCUGUUAAGUCGAACGUGAAAUCCCCGGGCUCAACCCGGGAACUGCGUCCGAUACUGGCAGGCUUGAAUCCGGGAGAGGGAUGCGGAAUUCCAGGUGUAGCGGUGAAAUGCGUAGAUAUCAGGAGGAACACCGGUGGCGAAGGCGGGUCUCUGGGCAGUAACUGACGCUGAGGAGCGAAAGCGUGGGGGAGCGAACAGG